ACCACAUUUAUUAAAAACCACAUUUAUCAAAAACCAUAUUUAUUAAAAACCACAUUUAUUAAAAACCACAUUUAUUAAAAGAUACAUUUAUUACUUUUUUACUUAUGUACUUAUUUAAUUAUUUACUUUUUUUUUUUUUUUUUUUUUUUUACGGUGUUUAUUACAACAGGGAAAAAAAAAUAAUAUAAAAAAAAUAUGAUGUAUUUAUCUCAUGCUUAAAAUUAAAAAAUAUAAUAAAAUAUACAAAAUACGUUGUUUACUAUGCAUUAAUAAUUUUUUUUUUUUAUGUUCUCUUUUUUUUUUUUUUUAAACAUUCUCUAUUUCGCUUAUCCAAAUAUAAUUAAAAUAAUUGUUUUUUUAAACAAUCCUCUUAAUCUACUCUUUCCGAAAAAAAUAGAAAGCAAAAAAAAAAAAAAAAAAUAAAUGGAAAAAAAAAAUCAAAGUUCAUAUUAGCUAUAUUAAUAAAAAAUAUAUAUAUAUAGUUUAUAUAAUAAUUGUUAGAUAUAGGAACAAACAAUUUGAUUUAUUUGUAAUAUAUAUGAUAGUAACACCUUCUAAACGUUAGAGGAGACUGAGUAUAAGUUAUAAAAUAGUUGUAUAUAUUAAGUAGUUAUUUAUGUUUUUGUAUUUACUUUAAAUUAAAAUGUAUAAUAUAUUAUUGAAUGGGUAUUUUGAUAUUAUUACCUAAUUAAUAAUUAAAAAUAAUAGUUAUUAUAACAUUAUGGGUAACUAUAUAACACUUAAAAUAUUUGACAUAUAUAAUGACACAAAACAUAGCAUUAUAAAUAAAAUUAAAACAUCAGAAAAAGAAGAAAAAAAUGAAGCAAAUUCCUUGUUAAAUGAAAAUAUGCCUAUUAAUAAAAAAACAAAUAAUAAAAAUUUGUACAAUAAUCAAAACGAGCAAAUCAUUAACAAACAAAUUAAUAAUAAACUUAACAUAAAUGGAGAUAAUACAGAAAAUAAUGACAUAGAAAAAAUAAAAAAAGAAAAUUUUUAUUUAUUUGAUGAAAGUUUAAAUUCAAAUGAUAUUAAACACCCAUGUCAUGGUCAGUGGUUUAUGUUUUGGGUUUUUGCUGCUUAUUUAAAUGAAAAAUUUUCAGAAAGUGAAAAACAGUAUGUUCAUUCUUUUUAUGUCAAUUUUCCUGAGCAGUGUAUAAAAGGAAAAGGAAAAUACUGUUUCAAUGAAUUUUCAAAAAUUUAUCCGUUUAGAGCCGGGACAAGAGAAGAAUUAAUGAUGUGGUUGCAAAUGUGUGAAAAUUAUUGUAGAAAAAAGGCAGAACUACCUGUAAAAAUAUUUAAUUACAAUAAAUUAUUAAAAAGGUGGAGAUAUGAUGAUGGGUAUAUGUAACCGAACAAAGGUAAAUCCAUUUUUCAUUUAACUUUUUGAAAACACUGAUUUUCGUAUGUUAUACAUUUUUUUUUUAAUUGUUUUUAAAAUUUUCUUAGUUUUGAUACAGUAAUUCGUAUUAAAAAAGUGUAAUGUGUACGAUUUUUUUUUUUUUUUUUUUUUUUUUUUGGUAAAUGUAUGUGUUUAAUUUGAAAAUUUUACAAUUUAAUGGUAUAAUAUAUAUAUACAUACAGUCACUUAAAUGUUAAUUUUUAACUUUUGAAAUAAAAAAAAAUAAAAAAAAAAUUGCUAUAUUAUU
ensembl:lncRNA